rnacentral:rRNA from 1 species
UAGGGAAUCUUCCGCAAUGGGCGAAAGCCUGACGGAGCAACGCCGCGUGAGUGAUGAAGGUCUUCGGAUCGUAAAACUCUGUUAUUAGGGAAGAACAAAUGUGUAAGUAACUAUGCACGUCUUGACGGUACCUAAUCAGAAAGCCACGGCUAACUACGUGCCAGCAGCCGCGGUAAUACGUAGGUGGCAAGCGUUAUCCGGAAUUAUUGGGCGUAAAGCGCGCGUAGGCGGUUUUUUAAGUCUGAUGUGAAAGCCCACGGCUCAACCGUGGAGGGUCAUUGGAAACUGGAAAAAUUGAGUGCAGAAGAGGAAAGAGGAAUUCCAUGUGUGGCGGUGAAAUGCAGAGAGAUAUGAGAAAACACCAGUAGCGAAGGCGACUUUCUGGUCUGUAACUGACGCUGAUGUGCGAAAGCGUGGAGAUCAAACAGG